CCUACGGGUGGCAGCAGUGGGGAAUAUUGCACAAUGGAGGGAACUCUGAUGCAGCGACGCCGCGUGAGUGAAGAAGUAUUUCGGUAUGUAAAGCUCUAUCAGCAGGGAAGAAAGUGACGGUACCUGAAAAAGAAGCCCCGGCUAAAUACGUGCCAGCAGCCGCGGUAAUACGUAGGGUGCAAGCGUUAUCCGGAUUUACUGGGGGGAAAGGGAGAGUAGGGGGGAGAGCAAGUCAGAAGUGAAAACCCAGAGCUCAACCACGGGACUGCUUUUGAAACUGUUAAGCUAGAGUACAGGAGAGGCAGGCGGAAUUCCUAGUGUAGCGGUGAAAUGCGUAGAUAUCAGGAGGAACACCAGUGGCGAAGGCGGCCUGCUGGACUGUAACUGACGCUGAGGCUCGAAAGCGUGGGGAGCAAACAGGAUUAGAUACCCGUGUAGUC
rnacentral:rRNA from 1 species